CUCCAAUUUCUCUCUCUACUUUGUAAUCAGGUUUUCUCCAAUUAGGGCCUAAACUUUACAUGGUAUCAGAGCAUUGAUCAAGAUCUUCAUUUAUGGCGACAAAUCCAGAAGCUGAAAUUGAAGAAUCGACUGAUAGUCCUACACCGAAAGCUGAUCACGAUGAAGAUCUGUUGCUUGCAACUCAUCGACUGAUAUUGGAUCUCUCGAGCCCUUACUACAUGCACUAUGUAGAUAACACAGGUAUGCAGAUUGUUUCAGUUGUUCUCUCUAAUGAGAAUUAUUCAACCUAAAGUUGUGCUGUGGAAAUGGCAUUAAGUGUGAAAAAUAAGGAAGGUUUUAUUGAUGGUUCGAUAGUGAAACCCUCCAUAAAUUUACCUUUGUAUGCUGCCUGGCGUAGAUGCAAUCAUAUUGUUUCAUCAUGGAUUAUUAGUUCAAUUCCUAAGGAACUAUAUCCUAAUGUUAUGCAUAAGGACUCAGCAUGUGAGAUCUGGCUCAAAUUGAAAGAUAGGUAUAGUCAGGGCAAUGGACCUAGAAUUUACCAAUUGAAGAAGCUAAUUGCUUCAAUUUCACAAGGGUAUGGAUCUGUAAGUGCCUAUUUUAAUAGGCUGAAGGGCUUAUGAGAAGAGUUGUCGAACUAUAGGCCACAAAAUCAUAAUUCUUAUCAUGAAGAAGAACAAAUACUGCAAUUUUUAAUGGGACUGGAUGAGUGUUAUUCCAAAGUGAGAAGUCAGAUUUUACUAAUGGAGCCUUUGCCUCCACUAAACAAAGUGUUUACCUUAGUUUUGUAGGAUGAAAAAUAGAGAGAUGUGGCAUCAAGGAGUCAGAUUAAUGUGGAAACCAGUGCAUUCGUUAGUAGAUUGAUGCGUAAUCCAAUGAGCACUGGAGGUAACCGAAGAACAGCAAAUAUGAAUCAAAAUUACAGGAAGGAUAGACCUAAGUAUAGUUACUAUGGGAUGCUUGGACAUAUACAGGGAAAGUGCUACAAACUCCAUGGAUAUCCUCCAGGACAUAGGUUGGCAAAGGAGAAAGGAAAAUGAUAUAUUUCCAGUGCUAAUCAAGUGAUGGGAACUGCUACCUCCUCUGAUCUGUCAGGUGCAUUCUCAAACCUGACAUUUACUCCAGAACAAUGCCAGCAAGUUCUCAACAUGCUGAAACCGCAAAUUCACGUUCAGCUCUCAAAUUUGAUUACUCAAUCUGGUAAUACUGAAAACCAGAGUCAAACAAACCUUGCAUUGCCAGAUGUUUCACAUUCUCGGGUAAUAACUUAUGUCUAGCAGUCUCAAUUAUAAGGCAUAAGUGGAUAAUUGAUAUUGGGGUAACAGACCACAUGGUGAGUUGUAUUGAUCAUCUAUCCACUAUCACUGCUAGAGUAAGUGUAAGUGUCAAACUUCCAAAUGGAGAUGAGGCUCAUGUGACUCACAUAGGAACUGUAAAGCUGUCUGAAAGGUUAUUAUUAACCAAUGUGUUAUGCAUUCCCUUUUUUACAAUGUAAUCUAAUCUCUUCCAUUCCCUUUAUUUUCUAUCUCUUCUUUACCAUGGUUUGCUCACAUUGUGAACUACUUGGCUGCAGGUGAAAUCCCAAAGGAGUAGAGUACAAAGGAUAAGAGGAAGUUUUUGGUUCAGGUACGUAAUUUUUAUUGGGAUGACCCAGGUUUGUUUAAGUACUGCCCGACCAAAUAUCAAGACGUUGUGUCCCCAAUGAAGAAAUACCAAGCAUACUUAGUUUCUGUCAUACUCAAGCAUGUGGUGGCCACUUCUCUAUAAAAAAGACUGCUGCAAAAAUUCUACAAUGUGGUUUUUAUUGUCCUACCUUAUUCAAAGACACUAAUACCUAUUGUAGAACCUGUGAAAGAUGUCAAAAGUUAGGUGCCAUGUCUUGACGUAAUAUGAUGCCUUUAAACCCCAUUUUAGUGAUAGAAGUGUUUGAUUGUUGGGGAAUUGACUUUAUGGGCCCCUUUCCACCUUCUUUUGGUUAUCUCUACAUUAUUGUGGCGGUGGAUUAUGUGUCUAAAUGGGUAAAGGUGGUCGCUUGUAGAGCUAUGACAAUAAAACGGUUAUUAAAUUCCUCAAAGAAAAUGUCUUGUCUAGGUUUGGUACACCACGUGUCAUUAUUAGUGACAGAGGCACAUUGUAACCGUUCAUUCGAAGCACUAAUGAAAAAAUAUGGAGUUAUUCAUAAAAUCUCUACUGCUUACCACCCCCAAACUAGUGGACAGGUAGAAUUGGCUAAUAGGGAAAUUAAACAAAUUUUGAAAAAAACGGUGAAUCCGAAUCAUAAAGAUUGGUCUUUAAGAUUAAAUGAUGCACUUUGGGCUUACCGUACUGCUUUUAAGACUUCCCUAGGCAUGUCACCAUAUAGACUUAUUUUUGGAAAGCCUUGCCAUUUACCUGUGGAGCUUGAACACCGAGCAUAUUGGGCUAUUAAACAUUUUAAUUUCGACCUAGAGGAGGGAGGUAAGCUUAGGAAAUUUCAAUUGGCUGAGUUAGAAGAGUUGAGAAAUGAGGCCUAUGAGAGUUCUAGAAUCUACAAGGAAAAAAUGAAAGCUUUUCAUGAUAAAAACAUUUUGAGAAAAACUUUUGAACCAAAUCAAAAAGUAUACUUGUAUGAUUCUAGACUCCACAAGCAUCCUGGAAAACUUCGUUCUAGGUGGACUGGUCCCUUUGUGGUAUUACGAGUCUUUGAAAAUGGAGCGGUUAAAAUUGAGGAUCCUAAUGAUGGUAGAGUGUUCAAAGUGAAUGGACAGCGUCUCAAAAUAGCUUUUGGGCAAUCGGUGCCUGCAGUGGAAGAAAUUCUCCUUGCAGACCCUGUUUACCACCCUUAGCUUCACUCAGGUUCAUCCUUCACUUUAUUUUUCUGUAUAUUAGUUUUAGAUUUUUCUUUUUAGUAUGAUUUGCAUUCAUUUUUUUUUUUUGGUUUAUUUUUUACUCCUUGCAUUAUCCAUCCAUUGAGUUCUUUCAGGUUUCUCAUCCUUCGAACUUAAGUUAAUUCACUGCAGUACUCAGGUGGUACCUUUCCCCUUCUUUAUUUUUGGAGACAUGUUUAUGCAUUGAGGACAAUGUAACUUUUAGUUGGGGGGAGGAUACAUUUUGUUUGUGAAUUGCAUUGCAUGAUAAAUUGUGUGAUCAUGAAAUUGUGAAAAAGUUUACAUUUUUGCCUGGACUUCUGAGUUGCUGCAUGUUUAUGCCUAUGUGCUUGAGUGACAAAAUAUGCCACUAGGAGUUGGUUGUGUUUAUGAGAAUCUGGAUAUCAGGACACUUGCUAUAUUUCAAUUUGUGCACACAAGCCUUGUGGUAAGAUAGUGGUUUAACACAUGUAGUUAGAGGAAUCUCCUGCUAGAGCCUUCUUUAGAGAGAAUUGGUGAGGAUUGAGAGUUAUCACAUAUUAAAAAUGUAAUAAGUGUUCAUUGAUUGUGUGAAUUGGAAACUUUUUCUGAGAAUGACAUUACACGAUAUGUGGUAAGACGGUGGUUUGUACUUGAGAAAUGAUAACAGUCAAUUUAGGAUUGAAUUUGAGCCUUCAGACUAGUUCUUUUCCAUAAUUAUAAUCCCCUAGAGCCACUUUGAGCCAAUACACAUACAUAA
rnacentral:lncRNA from 1 species